rnacentral:rRNA from 1 species
CCUACGGGAGGCAGCAGUGGGGAAUUUUGGACAAUGGGCGCAAGCCUGAUCCAGCAAUGCCGCGUGCAGGAUGAAGGCCCUCGGGUUGUAAACUGCUUUUGUACGGAGCGAAACGGUCUCUUCUAAUACAGGGGGCUAAUGACGGUACCGUAAGAAUAAGCACCGGCUAACUACGUGCCAGCAGCCGCGGUAAUACGUAGGGUGCAAGCGUUAAUCGGAAUUACUGGGCGUAAAGCGUGCGCAGGCGGUUUUGUAAGACAGAUGUGAAAUCCCCGGGCUCAACCUGGGACCUGCAUUUGUGACUGCAAGGCUGGAGUACGGUAGAGGGGGAUGGAAUUCCGCGUGUAGCAGUGGAAUGCGUAGAUAUGCGGAGGAACACCGAUGGCGAAGGCAAUCCCCUGGACCUGUACUGACGCUCAUGCACGAAAGCGUGGGGAGCAAACAGGAUUAGAUACCCUGGUAGUCCACGCCCUAAACGAUGUCAACUGGUUGUUGGGUCUUUACUGACUCAGUAACGAAGCUAACGCGUGAAGUUGACCGCCUGGGGAGUACGGCCGCAAGGUUGAAACUCAAAUGAAUUGACGG